UGAGAGAGACAUCUAGAUCGACUGCCCUUGUCCUUAUGCGGGACUUCAACUUGCCAGACAUUAACUGAGAACACCACACCACUGAUGACAAACAGGUCCAGGAAAUUCCGAAAACACCUUUAUGACAGCUCCCUGGUACAGGUGCCCCAAACAGGAGGACCAUGGCUGCAGUAAUGAUCAACUCCUAGCCAAACCUGAACUUGUGCUGGUUUUCUGCUCCAACUGGAUGCAUGGAUCUUGGGAAUCUGGAGAGGUCCUAGUUGACUGGAAGUCGGCAAAUGUUCCACUUUUCAUGAACUGCAAGAAAGAAGACUG